AAAAAAAUCCAGCCUGAUUUCCUGUUCUGCAGCAUGGAGAAUGCCGUCCCAGGGCCACAGCCUGUGCUCAGCUGGGCUGUGGUGGGGCUGCACAGAGCUGCAAAGCAGGCAGGGUCCCACAGCGCCUCCAGGGCCUUGGGUUGUGCUUCCUUGGGCUUUAAGUACUGAGAUGAGCUACGUUCAGAGCAGAGUUUGUUUCAUCGUCUGUGUCUGAGAUAGAGCUCGUGUGUGCAGGAUUGUUCCAGUGAAUGAGAGACCACUGGUGUCACUGCCUCAGAGCCACCAGCAGCUCCACUGCUGUGUGGGACACAUCAGCACGAUGGCUGGUCAAACACAUGCCUUCCUGCAAGCAUGUGGGGCUGGGUGAGCACAGAGAGCUGGGAGAUGAAUGUCAGGAACACCUGAGUGAGCUGCUGGUGGAUGCCAUGGUUACGCACCCUGCACAAGGAAUGCAGGACCGCUGCCCUCUGUGUCACCGCAUGGAGCACUGCCUGCGUUCCAACAUGGCACCCAACUCCCCCAGAGGAAAUUCCCAUCUGCCUCCAAGUGGCCAGCUUCUUUCUCGGGCUCUGCACACAGCUCCACAUGGUUUCAUUUUCCUCACCAGCAACAAUAAAUCUGUUUGGGAGAGCGGCUGCUGGGGGGGGAUCUGAGGGCGGUGGGACAGCCCUGCAGCCCACGUGGGGUGGCUGUGCUGGCAGCUCACAAACAAACCCAGCUCUGUCCCAGGGCUCUGCAGAGUGGGGGCAUCGUGGGGCUCUGCUCCUUCCUGCCGCAUCCUCAGCUCUGGCAACAAGAAAUGAAUCUCUGUGGAGCUCAUGGCCCUACAGCUCUGGGAGGUGGCACUUCAAUAAAACUGAUAAAUAAAAGGAACUCGCUGAAAGAAGUUGCUGUGUUAAUGCAGCACAACUGUUCUGCCUCUUUCCUCCCACCCUCUGCCCCCCUGGGUGGAGGUGUAGUCUGAGUGUGCCCGAGGGCACAGACGGGUGCUGGCACAGGGGUGGCUGCUCCUCCCAUGCUCUGCUCCAAGGCCGGGCUGUUGAGAGCUGAGCAUUGUCUUCAGAACAGCUCCGGAUUCCAGCAGAACGUCGUUAUGCCUUAUUCAUGUAGGUCUUGUUGACAUCACAUCAAAAUGAUUCUGGCUGUCCUCAUGACGAAGUCUGGAGGUGCUGAGAUGUGAGGGAAAAUGCUUUCUCCUGCCAAUCAAAGACUGCAAGUAUUCAGGCUGUCAAAAAGCACUGGCUCGGCUCUGUGUCUCCCCAGCCCAGGCACAUGGGGGGGGGGGCAGUGGGAGAGGAGCAGCCGGCCCCACUGCUUGGGGGUAUCCAACUCCAAGUGCCAUCACCUCCUCUUCCUCCUCUUCCUCCUCACCCCCCUCUCCCAGGUGCUGCUGAGCUCAUGCCAGGCCAUGCCAGCUGUGUGCCAGGGCUCUGGGUGUGCCAUGGGGCAUACAGAGACCCCAAGGGAUGGGUCCCAGUGCCCUGUGUCUGUCCUACAGGUCAGCAGCAGAGAGGCACUGCUGGCUGACAGCACAGCGCAGUGUUUGUGGCAAUGAGAAACAGAUUGCUAUCAAGAGGGUUGAUUCUAAUAAUAAAAUAAUGUCUAAACUU
ensembl:lncRNA